rnacentral:rRNA from 1 species
AUUGAACGCUGGCGGCAGGCCUAACACAUGCAAGUCGAACGGUAACAGGAAGCAGCUUGCUGCUUCGCUGACGAGUGGCGGACGGGUGUGUAAUGUCUGGGGAACUGCCUGAUGGAGGGGGAUAACUACUGGAAACGGUAGCUAAUACCGCAUAACGUCGCAAGACCAAAAAGGGGGACCUUAUGGCCUCUUGCCAGCUGAUGUGCCCAGAUGGGAUUAGCUAGUAGGUGGGGUAACGGCUCACCUAGGCGACGAUCCCUAGCUGGUCUGAGAGGAUGACCAGCCACACUGGAACUGAGACACGGUCCAGACUCCUACGGGAGGCAGCAGUGGGGAAUAUUGGGCAAUGGGCGCAAGCCUGAUGCAGCCAUGCCGCGUGUAUGAAGAAGGCCUUCGGGUUGUAAAGUACUUUCAGCGGGGAGGAAGGGAGUCAAGUUAAUACCUUGGCUCAUUGACGUUACCCGAAGAAGAAGCACCGGCUAACUCCGUG